UACGUAGGUGGCAAGCGUUGUCCGGAUUUAUUGGGCGUAAAGCGCGCGCAGGUGGUUCGUUAAGUCCGGUGUGAAAGCUCCCGGCUCAACUGGGAGAGGUCAUUGGAUACUGGCGGACUUGAGGCAGGCAGAGGAAGGUGGAAUUCCCGGUGUAGUGGUGAAAUGCGUAGAUAUCGGGAGGAACACCAGUGGCGAAAGCGGCCUUCUGGGCCUGUCCUGACGCUGAGGCGCGAAAGCGUGGGGAGCGAACCGG
rnacentral:rRNA from 1 species